rnacentral:misc_RNA from 1 species
GAUGAAGAACGCAGUGAAAUGCGAUACGUAAUGUGAAUUGCAGAAUUCAGUGAAUCAUCGAGUCUUUGAACGCACAUUGCGCCCCCUGGUAUUCCGGGGGGCAUGCCUGUCCGAGCGUCAUUGCUGCCCUCAAGCACGGCUUGUGUGUUGGGCCUCCGUCCUCCUCCCGGGGGACGGGCCCGAAGGCAGCGGCGGCACCGCGUCCGGUCCUCGAGCGUAUGGGGCUUCGUCACCCGCUCUUGUAGGCCCGGCCGGCGCUUGCCGACACAUCAAUCUUUUUUCCAGGUUGACCUCGGAUCAGGUAGGGAUACCCGCUGAACUUAAGCAUAUCAAUAAGCGGAGGA